AAUAAUGAUAAUAAUAAUAAUAAUAAUAAUAAUAAUAAUAAUUGAAAAGGAAAAGAAGAAGAUGAGAAUUUCGUAAAUGUUACAAACGUGUCGAUUAUUUAUAAACGUAUAUUUCAACCAUGUCCUGAGUAAUAAUAGUUCUUUGUUUAUGAUUUGCUACAACUCUUUGUUAUUAUAUUAAAUAUUUUUUUUUUUACUUUUUUUUUUUUACAUAAAUAUUUAAAAGUAAAAGACUUAUAUAAUUGUUACGAUUGGUUCUUAAUAUAUUGCGAUAAUCCUGCUAUCUUAAUUUCUAUACGAGUCAUUAACUUAAUGUUAAUAUAUGUAAAUGCGUAAAAACUAUGAAUUUGUUGUUGUUGUUGUUGUUUCACAUGGUAUUAUUUAAUUAAUUACUUAAAAUAAUAUAUAUUUCGAUUUGUCAUUGAAUAAUAUACACUUGAGCGUUAUCAUGUAUUGUAAAAGUGAAAUGUGUGAAAACAUUUUAAAUGAUAGAACAUAUAAGACUGAUUAAUUAAAAAAAC